UUGUAGUUAUUGGUUGAUUUUGUUGAAUUGGAUAUUGGUUGUUGAUGGGUUUUGGUUGGAUUUGUUGUGAUUGUUCAUUGGUGGAUGUUAGAUCGGUGUUGGUUCUAGGACUAUGUUUCCCUUGAUUCUAGGACUAGUAACAGGGCUUUAAGAAAGUUUGACCAUUCCCAUCUUCAGUCUGCUGGAAAUGAGGAGUAUCAAUGUUCAAGGUGAUGCAAGGGGAAAAAGUUUUUAAGGAAAAGGUGUUGGACGAGAUAUUCGGGCCAAACGAUUUGUCCCACACUCAUGUAGAGCCCGUCGACCCCGAGGAGUUCUCCUACCAUAGCUCAACUUCGGAUAUGGAUCAGUCAAGCUCGGAUGACUCAAUGCAGCCUCCUAGUCAUCCAUUGGAGCCUCCAUGUCCCAUUCCUUAGCCCCCACCCCAUGCCAAUAGAGAAUCCUCACCCAUAAGAGAACCUGAACCGAACAUAGAAGAUAUCGAUGUAGCCGCUCCCACAAUGCCUACAACUACCCAGGAACAACCCAAAUGUAGGCGUGGGCUUGCUAAGUACAUUGAGUUCAAGAAGUUGAGAAAGUAUGAAAAAGUGCCGUUAAAUUAAUGACGGCAAGUCGGCACCGUGUUGUUAGAAUGCAUCCAUGUUGACGACAAGGGUAAUGCAAAUAGUUAAACAACACUGUGACAUGAGUUAUGCUAGAUGGACCGAUGUGUCACAGGCUCAGAAGGACAAGUUGAUUGAACGUGUUUGGGGUGACUUUGUGUUGGAUUGGGAUUUGGCGAAUCAUAGAUUGACAGUCUUAAAGCAGCUACGUAAGCAGUUCAAUGCAUUCCGUCACGAAUUACACAAAAAAUAUUUAUCAUACAAAAGUCACGAAGAAGCAUUAGCUUCUGGGAGUAGCAUGGUCGACCCCAUCAUUUGGGAUAAGCUAUGUGCGAGGUGGGGAAGCGAAGAUUUCAAGGCAUAAAUCUCAAGACAAAAUCAAGAGAAUAGAAAGAAGCUAACCAAUAACCACACAGCAGGCCGCAAAUCCUUUGUUAGGAUACUAGAGAAGCAGGCAACGGAUGCGACUUGGUGGAGUUUUAUAAGGAGACUCACUGGUCGAAGAAGAACGGUAAAUUUGUCACCUCAACCACUGAAGACACCUAUAAAAAGAUGGUUGGCAAACUGGAUGAUCUAGAGCCUGAACAACGCACCGAUGAGGCAGCAGCGAGUGUGUUUAGGGAGGUACUUGGGCAUAGACCAGGAUAUGCCCAGGGGCUAGGGGAGAUGGUCAUCCCGGAGUCUACAAGACAACGGGACCGUGAAUAAGAAAAAGAGUACCUUGCCUUGAUUGAACAACACAAGAAAGAUGCCGACAACUACAAGAAAGAUGUCAUGAACUACAAGAAACAGCUUGAUGAAAUGAGGGAUGAAAUGCGCGAACUUCGUGAGAGGCAAAAUGAAACUGAUAACAUGUUGAGGGAAUUCUUCUAAAAUUUCCCGUCUUACAUUGAGUCUCUCCAGUCUCGUGGAGAGACUCAGUGAGCUACCUUCAAAAUGCAUGGGACAGGCUUUUUUGUGUAUUUUGGGCACUUUUUGGUGGUGGGUGGCCAAUAUAUAAAUUUAAACAUAUAUAUAUUUUCACAAAUCUACAUAUAUAUAUAUAUACUUAUAUAUAGUGAAGAUGAAGGUUGUCUACUUUUGCAUCGUUGGAGUCAUUGGGCAGUUGAGGGAAUUUUUGGGCUUUACUGUGUGGAAGUUUGGUUAUAUGUUGAUGAGUUGUUCCAAUUAUCUAGAGGGUGUUGGGAAAGGACCUAACAUAUUGUGGGCUUAGAAGAAUUGCAGCACGAUGAAAGACAAUUCAGUGAAAGAUUAUUGUCAGUGAAAGAUAUGAAGGUUUUUAGAAAUUUUGUUUUCCAUUGAUUCCUUCUCCUAGAUUUUUAUUUUCUCUUCCUCGAUCAAUGCAUUUGCGAGUGUUUAGCAAAUAAUGUAUCCCUCUAGCUACAAUAUAACCACCUUAUGU